CCUACGGGGGGCAGCAGUGGGGGAUAUUGCACAAUGGGGGGAACCCUGAUGCAGCGACGCCGCGUGGGUGAAGAAGCGCCUCGGCGCGUAAAGCCCUGUCAGCAGGGAAGAAAAUGACGGUACCUGAAGAAGAAGCCCCGGCUAACUACGUGCCAGCAGCCGCGGUAAUACGUAGGGGGCAAGCGUUAUCCGGAUUUACUGGGUGUAAAGGGGGCGCAGACGGCGAUGCAAGCCAGGAGUGAAAGCCCGGGGCCCAACCCCGGGACUGCUCUUGGAACUGCGUGGCUGGAGUGCAGGAGGGGCAGGCGGAAUGCCUGGUGUAGCGGUGAAAUGCGUAGAUAUCACGCAGAACCCCGAUUGCGAAGGCAGCCUGCCAGGCCAUGACUGACGCUGAUGCACGAAAGCGUGGGGAGCAAACAGGAUUAGAUACCCUUGUAGUC
rnacentral:rRNA from 1 species